GUAAUUAAUGUCAAUACUUUUGAGACCUUUUUCAAAACCAUUCAGUCUGGCUGAAUUCUAGUCAUGCCCCAUAAACUUCUUACAAAUUAUCUUAUGUAAGUCCUUCAAGCAUCUUUUUGUUCUCAGAGAAUGAUAUAGGUCAUGGCUAUUUGCUUUGUUUUUCUUACAAAUUCAGAUGUAGUCCUAAAAAUGUGCAAAACACACACACCCACACACCUGUUAGAGUUCCUGCAUUACUGCCAAGUGCUACUGAGACAUCAAAGACUGAAAAUCAAACAAUGACUAAUAGCAUGUCUCCAGUUUAAUGGCUGUUGGGUUUUAGCCCAUAGCUCAUGAGACUAAGUCUAAGGCCUGCAACACUGAAGGUUAACCCCACACUGUAAAACCAACCCCAUCUCACGUCUCCUUUAAAGGUGAACAAAAGGCCAACUUGUCCCAGGGAUAAGUCCUCUCAGCCGGGGCCUACACAGACCUCGCCCACCCAGACCGAUGACAAAGCAGACGGACACAUUGCAGUUAAAAACUUGGCCUUCUGACUUUUGCUCACCAGUCAGCCAACCCUUGUCCUUCUCAAGUCAGCCACUCAGCCCACACCAGUGCCACUCCACUAAGUCUGCACCACAGUGGACUUGAACCCACAACCUUCUUCACAUAAGGCAGCACCCUUUGCCUCCACACCAUGCGGAUUCACAUCCCACUACUUUUUUUGAGGGGGAAUAUCAUGAACUUUGCCGUAAGUCCUGAUGGCCAUGCAAACAGCUUAUCACUUUCUUUCUUCGUCGAAGAAGGAUAGUCGAAAGUGUCUUUUGUCUGUCACUCUUGAGCGGUGGUUUUCAACCUGUGGGAUGAGGAAUAUAGGCCAUUUUUUUGUCUAUUUUGCAAAGUAAAAAUGAUUUAAAAUCUGUGAUUAGUUCUGCAUUUUAAAUUUAAGAUGCAAACAUGAUUAAUAAGGGCACUCUGGUGCUCUAGAGGGCACUUUAGUGAUGCUUUUUUUCAACCGGGGGGGCUCAAAAGUGGGUGGUUGGCCCCCAGUACAGCAGUAUUAAAAAUACAGAACAUUAUACCGACAUUAUACAACAAUACUGACUUUUGACUUUCAUUGGUACAGAAAUGUCAUGACUCGUGGUCAUUAGUGAAAAUCUAGUAAUAUAUGUUGUGGCAAUGUUCAUGAUAUGCCCCCCCAAAAAAGGUGGUGAUAUGUGAAUCUGCAUGGUGUAGAGGUAAAGGGCUUUGCCUUGUGUGCAGAAGGUUGUGGGUUCAAGUCCUGUGUGGUGCAGACUUGAUGGAUGAUGCUGGUGAGGUGUGAGGAGCUGACUUGAGAAGGAUAAGGGUUGGCAGGAGAAAAUAAAAAAAAAAUAAAAUAAAUAAAUAAAUAUAAU
rnacentral:lncRNA from 1 species